AGGACGAACGCUGGCGGCGUGCUUAACACAUGCAAGUCGAGCGGAAAGGCCCUUCGGGGUACUCGAGCGGCGAACGGGUGAGUAACACGUGAGUAACCUGCCCCUAGCUCUGGGAUAGCUCCGGGAAACCGGGAUUAAUACCAGAUACGACCACUUUAGACAUCUGUCGUGGUGGAAAGGAUUCCGGCUAGGGAUGGGCUCGCGGCCUAUCAGCUUGCUGGUGGGGUAACGGCCUACCAAGGCGACGACGGGUA
rnacentral:rRNA from 1 species